rfam:Brassica napus, WGS project CCCW01000000 data, contig: 12773
GGAAGUUAAGAAAAUGUUUUUUAACUUUUAACUAAAAAAAGUAAGAACCGGUUCUUAAAUAAGGAUUUUAAGAACCGGUUCUUACUUUUUUUAGUUAGAAGUUAAGAAACAUUUUCUUAACUUCC